rnacentral:rRNA from 1 species
CGAACGCUGGCGGCGUGCUUAACACAUGCAAGUCGAACGGUGAAGCGCCUUCCUUUUUGGUGGGUGUGGAUGAGUGGCGAACGGGUGAGUAACACGUGAGUAACCUGCCCCCUUCUUCUGGAUAACCGCAUGAAAGUGUGGCUAAUACGGGAUAUUCUGGGUCUGUCGCAUGAUGGGUCUGGGAAAGAUAUUGUUUCGGUGGGGGAUGGGCUCGCGGCCUAUCAGCUUGUUGGUGGGGUGAUGGCCUACCAAGGCGGUGACGGGUAGCCGGCCUGAGAGGGUGGACGGUCACACUGGGACUGAGACACGGCCCAGACUCCUACGGGAGGCAGCAGUGGGGAAUAUUGCACAAUGGGCGCAAGCUUGAUGCAGCGACGCCGCGUGAGGGAUGGAGGCCUUCGGGUUGUGAACCUCUUUCGCCAGUGAAGCAGGCCUGCCUCGUUUGUGGGUGGGUUGACGGUAGCUGGAUAAGAAGCGCCGGCUAACUACGUG